GGCAUGGUGGUUUAGUGGUGAGCAUGUUUGCCUUGCACCUCCAGGGUUGGGGUUCGAUUCCCAUCUCUUCCCG